GAAAGCCUGACGGAGCAAGACCGCGUGGGGGAAGAAGGCUCUUGGGUUGUAAACCCCUUUUCUCUGGGAAGAACGCAAUGACGGUACCAGAGGAAUCAGCAUCGGCUAACUCCGUGCCAGCAGCCGCGGUAAGACGGAGGAUGCAAGCGUUAUCCGGAAUGAUUGGGCGUAAAGCGUCCGCAGGUGGCAGUUCAAGUCUGCUGUCAAAGACCGGGGCUUAACCUCGGAAAGGCAGUGGAAACUGAACAGCUAGAGUAUGGUAGGGGCAAAGGGAAUUCCUGGUGUAGCGGUGAAAUGCGUAGAGAUCAGGAAGAACAUCGGUGGCGAAGGCGCUUUGCUGGACCAUAACUGACACUCAGGGACGAAAGCUAG
rnacentral:rRNA from 1 species